CCUGCUUCAGUUGUUCAAGACCCACACGAAGACCGGGGUACACAUGGAGAGGCCUGGCUAGGUCCAGCCCCUGUGUGUUCUUUGGUUGGUGCUUCAGACUCUGAGAGCCUUAAGGGUCCAGGUUAGUUGAAUCUGUUGGUCUUCCUAUGGAAUUCCUAUCCCCUUCUGGAUCACAAUUCUUGCCCCUAUUCUUCCGUAAGAGUCCCCACAUUCCGUCUACUGUUUGUCUGUGGGUCUCUGCAUCUCUGUGAGUUAACUGCUGGGUGGAACCUCUCAGAGGACAACCAUGCUGCGCUCCUGUCUGCAAGCAUAGCAGAGUAUCAUCAACAGUGUUAGGGCUUGGUGCUUGCCCAUGGGAUGGGUCUCUAGUUGGACCAGUUAUUGCUUGGCCAUUCCUCGGUUCCACCCUCCAUCCCUGCAUUUCUUGAAGGCAGGUUAAAUAUGGGGUCAAAUUUUUUGUGGGUGGGUUGGUGUCCCUAUGGCACUAUUGGGCAUCCUGCCUGGCUACAGGAAGUGGCCUCUUCAGGUUCCAUGUCCCCACUGUGGUGAGUCUUAGCUAAGGCCACCCCUAUAGAUUUUUGCUAGUCUCCCUAUCCCAGGUCUCUAGAAGAUGCCCCCCCACGCCCACACCCACACCCACACCGUUGCAGAUUUCCAUUCAUUCUCAUGGCCAUCUGGCCAUCUCUCCUGUCUCUCCCCACAUCUGAUGAUCCUGAUCCUAAACCUCCCCCAGCCCCUCACCCAUCCAGUUCCCUCCCUCCAUCUGCCACCUACAACUGUUGUAUACCCCUUUCUAAGUGAGAUUCAAGCUUCCUUGCUUGGACCUUCCUUCUUGUUUAGCUUCUCUGUGGAGUGUAGCAUGGCUAUUCUGUACUUUAUGGCUAAUGUCCACUUAUAAAUGAGUACAUACCACACUUGUACCCUUGGGUCUGGACACUUCACUCGGGGUGAUAGUCUCAAGUUCAAUCCAUUCGCCUACAAAAUUCAUGAUGUCUCUCUUUUUAAUAGCUGAGUAGUAUUCCAUUGUGUAGAUGUACCAGAUUUCCUUUAUCCAUUCUUCAGUUGAGGGAUAUUGUAGUUGUUUCCGGUAUCUGACUAUUAUAAAUAAAGCUGAAAAGGAAGAUUUUAAUCUAAUAAUUCUAAUAUUUGGAGCCUCAGUUCUCCCAAGAGUGUUCAACUCACUUAGCAAAGACGGUGCUACCUGAAUUGGAGGCUGGUGUCUUCUGACUCCUUCAACUCCCUUUGAGAUGUGGGAGUGAUGGUUGCAGCACAUCCUGCUUACUGAUGAUGAGAGCUACACACAGGAGGAAGUGGAACGGCGCCUUGGAAACAGUCACUACUGUGGUCAGUGCCUCCUGAGGACUGCACUAAACCACAGAAGAGGGUAAUAGAAGCUGCAUGCUGUUUAAAGUUCUGUUUGUGCCUCUGAAACUAGUCAUGACCACUGUGAGGUUUUUAUUUGGUUAGCUGUCUUUAGAGUAGCACGUAUAACCCCUUGAUAAAAUGUUUAAAGAAAACAGCAGUCUCUCUCACCACUGUCAGUCCUCUCUUUUCUGCUACUGAAAAAAAUCAAUGUGAGCCGAUGAACGGACGCCAAUACAGUUUAAAUAUGUGACCUAUA